rnacentral:lncRNA from 1 species
CUGGUCUCAAAGGCAGCUGGUCUCUCUAGAGGUUGAAAGGAGCUGGACAGAAGUUUGUAUUACAGGCUCGUAGCACCGGAGGUUUCUGAUGGAGCAGACAACUUGAGGAAGGCCGGCCUUGCUGAACACAGUGGACUGACCGGGUCUGGACCCCUCCCCCACAGGUGACUGUGCACUGCAGCAGAGAGAAGAGGAAGGAGUCAGAAACACUCUACUGAGGUCAGUGACAUCAAACAGAAGGAAUUCCCAUGCUUCAUGACAUUAACAAGAUGCCUGCUGAUGAAACAGAUUGGCUGGAGCCAGGCACAUGUGCUUACAGUCCACAGCAUCUAUCCUAACAAGUGUGAUCCCUUUGAUCUGAUUAGAAGGGUUUUAGGCAAAUGCUAUCUAUCUAGCCCAAGAGUGUGUGUCUCCCAGUUAAGUGACUCACUCAUAAAGAAGAGAAGCUCCAGAAAUACAGAAGCUGCUCUAAGAAUGCAGAAACAAAUACAGACACACCUAGGGAGUUAAUCACAGGAUUUAAAGAAUUCCAGACAAUCUGUGCAGCUGCAGUAGUGGAGGACAUAGUUCAAAACUGGGACAGAAAAAGAAAUGGUCAGAGACAGCUCUGGAAUUAGGUCCUCGGUGCCCAGCCACAUUCUGAGUUGGCAUGACAGAGUUGGUGCUUCUUAGGAGUCGCUGAUUUCAGUGUGCAAUUAAAAAUUUUCAAAAGUAGACAACUCAACUGUCUUUCUUCCAGACAGCCAUAUGAAAAAUUUAUAAAGAUACUUCAUAACAAAAGGAAAACCAGGGAAAAAUGUAGCCCUUUAAAUGGAUUUUUCUUAUUUUAAAAAGUUACUACAUUAAUUUUUCUUAAAUGUACAUAUGCAUUAUAAUUGACUGUAGUUUCUGUCUCAAUUAAAAUUUAAGGGCAAGUCUUGUUAUCAAAUUAUCUAAACUAGGAGUUUGUAAACUUUUCCUUUAAAGGGGAAGAUAGAUAGUAAAUAUUUCAGGCUGUAUAGGCAUACGGCCUCUGUUGCAAGUACUCCUCACUGCCGUUGUAGCACUAAAGCAGCUGUGGUCAAUAUAUUAAGCAAAUGAACAUGGCUACAUUCCAGUUAAACUUUAUAAAAACAGGCAGGUAUUGGGGGAGCAGAUUUGGCUGGGUGGCAACUGUUUGCUGACCCCUUAAUCUAAAUAAACUUAUUAGAGUCAAUUUUAAAAAGAAAUCCCCAGCAAUAUGUGUAACACCUAGCACAAUGCCUGGCCAGAGAAAAUCAGGCUAAUUUCCUUUCCUCUCAUCCAUGUGUUGGUUUCCAGAUCCUCCCAGAUAGAUAACGUACGUACAUAUUGAUACCUCUACCCGGACUCUGUGAUUAAUGGUGAGGUGGGGAGCACCCGAGUCCUCUGAACUGAACAGCUGUGCAGCAACAUCUGCUGGGUGGAAUGCUGGAAGGACCGCGUCACACACCAAUCCUAGCUAAAGUUUCACCCAAGUCUUCUGAAAAGAAGGGUGCCUCUAGCAUCUGAUAAGUUUAAAAGCGAAGUAUCCUUGGCUGAAUUGCCUGACAUUCUGAGCUUUAGGGACCAUACUACCCCUGAAUAGGAGUACUUAGCACCGUGCAUAGUAAUAGCUUGACAAAUAUUAGCUAUUACAUUGUUCAGAAACAUGAUGUAAGAACCAAAUGAGUAAAGGCUGUGAGCAGCAUUUCUAAAACAGAAAGACUCGAGUGGUAGUUUCCGUAGCAACAGCAAUGACCAACAUUAGCAGUGUAUAACUGGCCUGGUGGUAAGUGUUUUACAUACAUUUUCUGAUGAACAAAAACAAAUCAACUCUCCCAGAUAAUGAUUUUCUAGAUGUGAAAACUGAGGUUUACAGAUUGUUACCUGCCCAGGGCCAAAGAACAAAACCCAUUCUGCCUUCAGAACUUGAGCCCUUAGUUGUUUUUACUUAGACAACCAUUAACAGACUAAGAGCAACUGUUUGCAGAACGCCUCAUUUUUCGACAUCUCACUUGAAUAGACACCUCCUCAAUCGGCCUGUACCCACCUG